rnacentral:rRNA from 1 species
GGCUCAGAUUGAACGCUGGCGGCAUGCCUUACACAUGCAAGUCGAACGGCAGCGGACCUUCGGGUGCCGGCGAGUGGCGAACGGGUGAGUAAAGUAUCGGAACGUACCUUUCAGUGGGGGAUAACUGUCCGAAAGGACAGCUAAUACCGCAUAUUCUGUGAGCAGGAAAGCAGGGGAUCGCAAGACCUUGCGCUGAUUGAGCGGCCGAUAUCAGAUUAGCUAGUUGGUGAGGUAAAGGCUCACCAAGGCGACGAUCUGUAGCGGGUCUGAGAGGAUGAUCCGCCACACUGGAACUGAGACACGGUCCAGACUCCUACGGGAGGCAGCAGUGGGGAAUUUUGGACAAUGGGGGCAACCCUGAUCCAGCCAUGCCGCGUGAGUGAAGAAGGCCUUCGGGUUGUAAAGCUCUUUCGGCCGGGAAGAAAUCGCACAGGAUAAUACCCUGUGUGGAUGACGGUACCGGAAUAAGAAGCACCGGCUAACUACGUG